rnacentral:rRNA from 1 species
AAUCAACGCUGGCGGCGUGCCUAACACAUGCAAGUCGAACGCGACUGGGGGCUUCGGUCUCCAGUUGAGUGGCGAACGGGUGAGUAACACGUGGGUGAUCUACCUUCGAGCGGGGGAUAA